GCGUGUGAUGAACAAUGGGUCUGCUGAUUUGAUGAUGAUCCGUUGGAGCGCUGAUG
rnacentral:snoRNA from 1 species